rnacentral:rRNA from 1 species
CACGUAGGGUGCGAGCGUUGUCCGGAAUUAUUGGGCGUAAAGAGCUCGUAGGCGGUGUGUCACGUCGAUCGUGAAAACUUACAGCUUAACUGUGAGCGUGCGGUCGAUACGGGCAUCACUGGAGUUCGGCAGGGGAGACUGGAAUUCCUGGUGUAGCGGUGAAAUGCGCAGAUAUCAGGAGGAACACCGGUGGCGAAGGCGGGUCUCUGGGCCGAUACUGACGCUGGAGGAGCGAAAGCGUGGGGAGCGAACAGG